rnacentral:piRNA from 1 species
UAGUAUCCCUAGGGUCACUGGCACUGGUCCC